rnacentral:rRNA from 1 species
GCGAGUUUGAUCAUGGCUCAGGACGAACGCUGGCGGCAUGCCUAAUACAUGCAAGUCGAGCGGAAUGAUGAGAGCUUGCUCUCCGAUUUUAGCGGCGGACGGGUGAGUAACACGUGGGCAACCUGCCCUACAGAUGGGGAUAACUCCGGGAAACCGGGGCUAAUACCGAAUAAUCAGUUUGUCCGCAUGGACAAACUCUGAAAGACGGCUUCGGCUGUCACUGUAGGAUGGGCCCGCGGCGCAUUAGCUAGUUGGUGGGGUAAUGGCCUACCAAGGCAACGAUGCGUAGCCGACCUGAGAGGGUGAUCGGCCACACUGGGACUGAGACACGGCCCAGACUCCUACGGGAGGCAGCAGUAGGGAAUCUUCCACAAUGGACGAAAGUCUGAUGGAGCAAUGCCGCGUGAGCGAAGAAGGUUGUCGGAUCGUAAAGCUCUGUUGUAAGGGAAGAACACGUACGGGAGUAACUGCCCGUACCUUGACGGUACCUUAUUAGAAAGCCACGGCUAACUACGUGCCAGCAGCCGCGGUAAUAA